CAAAUCAGAGCUGUCGAGGUAGGCGUGAUUGCAAUACCGUAGAUGCCAUCGUCGUCAUCACUGGCAGUAGUAGUUGUUAGCGUCGUUAUCGUCAUCGUUAGCCUCAUCAUCUUCAUCAUUAUCAUCAUCAGCAGCAGCAUAAUUGUUAUUAUCAUCAUUACUGUCAUCGUAGUUAUCGUCGGUGAAGGUAAAGAACGUGUGUGCACUAUCCAUUUCCAGGGGGUUUUUUUUUCAAAAAUUUUUUGGAAUGUCUGUUUUCGAUAUAGGAGAAUACGAUUUUGACCAAAAUUCACGUUUUCAAAAUUUUUAUUUCCUCCACCCAAAUUGAUUUUUAAAACUUUUUCGAAUGUUUUUUUUUUUUAAAUUCACGUAGAAAAAUACAGAUUACGAAUCUAGGGAAUUUUUUUUUUUUUUUUGCUUUUAAUUUUACUUUAAGAAAAACUCACUGUCCCUUUCUCCACCUCACCCACCCAUCACCUCCCCGCUUUCAAAGAACUAUUAACUCAGAAUGUUUUGUUUUCGUCUGAUGUUUCAUGCGUUGUAGAAUCCUACUGAAAUAGCAGACGUAAAAAAUAUCAGAGCACCAUCAGAAAACCCAAUAUGCUAAAAACAACAGGUGAACGCCAUUGUUUCUGGAAAAACUUCCCUGCUUCCUAAAAAGCUAAAAGUGAAACAUUCAGAGUCUUUAGCUUUUUGAAAGUGGGGAGGUGAUGGGUAAUGGAGGCUGGGGAAGGGGAUUUGAGUGUUUCUUUAAAAAGAAUAUUUUUUAAAAUUCUUAAAGAUUCGUAAUCUCUGCAUUUUUGUACGUAGACUACAAUAAAAAAAUUCAAAAAAAGUUUAAAAUUUAAAAAAUGGUGUGGGGAGAGGGAAAUAAAAAUUUUGAAAACGUGUUUCUGAGGCAACAUCCUAAUCUCUUAUAUUGAAAAUAUAGAAAUUCGAAAAAAUUUUUGGAAAAAAAAAAGUGGCAGUAAGGGCGCAAAUUAUCCAAUAAUUUUUUUUAAUAUUCCCCCUAGUUCUAAAACUUUGGGUAAAUUUACCAAACUUUCCACUGUUUUUUUUAUUUUUAUUUUUGGUGGGGUGGAGAUAAAAUAGGGACACUGAUUCUGCCAUUCAUUUCUCUUUAUAAUUUCCAAAUAAUUUUUUAAAUACUUCAAAAUCAAAAUUGUUGCGGGUUUGUGUAAGAGAAAAUCAUUUACUAACAGAAAAUUAUAUUAUUAAAGUAAAUUGGAAAAAGUAAAGAAUAUGCACACCUGGUGUUUAGGGCUUAGAGUUUAGGGUUAGCCUCAAGCCUAAAGUCAUUAAUGACUAGCCUAUGCUGAGGGGUACAUUCUUCACCCGGGAGGGUCUUUGUAUUUAAGAGCAACCAAUGUUUCUGAAAAGAAAGAGGCUUGGAGAAGCCAUUAUGAAAGACUGCUGAAUGUGGAGAAUGAAUGGGAGGAGGAGAGCCUUCCAAAUGUUGAUCCAGUUGAGGGACCAGCUAUCCCAAUAGACAGCUCCCUAGUAGAUAAAGCAAUUAAGGGUAUGAAGCCAGGAAAAGCCCCCAGCCCAUCAGGUAUCAAUGCUGAGAUGCUUAAAUCAUCUGGUGGUGUGGGCUAUGGCCUAGUCACCCACAUUGUAAACCAGGUAGUUCAUAAUGGUGUCAUACCCAAUGACUGGCGUAGCAGCACCAUAGUCAACUGCUACAAGGGUAAAGGUGAUGCUCUAGAUAGAAAUAACUACAGGGGUAUUAAACUGCUGGAUCAGGUGAUGACGGUCAUGGAGAGAGUCAUCUCAUUAGGGAGAGAGCCUGCUUAGAUGAGAUGCAGUUUGGUUUUGUUCCGGGUAGAAGCACCACUGAUGCCAUAUUCCUGGUUUGACAACUGCAGGAGAAAUACCUAGCUAAAGAUAAACCCCUCUACUUAACUUUUGUGGACUUAGAGAAAGCCUUUGACAGGGUCCCCCAAUCCCUUAUCUGGUGGGUGAUGCGGAAACUGGAGAUUGACAAAUGGUUAACAAGGGCUGUACAGGCCCUAUACAGAGAGGCCAUUAGUAAGGUUAGGUUUGGCAAUGAGUAUAGUGAAGAAUUCCUGGUAGAAGUAGGGGUCCAACAAGGUUCAGCCCUCAGUCCCCUUUUAUUCAUCAUAGUCCUCCAGGCAAUAAUAGAGUAAUUGAAGACGGGCUGCCCCUGGGAGCUCCUCUAUGCUGAUGACCUGUCCCUCAUAGAAGAAUCACUACCAGAACUAGACAAAAAAAUUUGGUGGGUGGAAGCUAGGUUUAGAAUCAAAAGGCCUUAGAGUCAAUGUAGCAAAGACCGAAGUUCUAGUAAGUAGGAAGGUGAACUCAUCACACACACCCUCAGGCAGGUGGCCCUGCUUGACCUGUAGAAAAGAUGUAGAUAGAAACUUCAUAAGAUGUACCCAGUGUAAGCUAUGGAUGCAUAAGAGAUGCAACAACUUCAAAGGAAAGUUAACUGAGAAGAUAGAUUUUGUGUGCAGCAGAUGCACAGGGGCAGUAGACACCAUUGAUACUCAGAAAACAGAUUCCAUCACACUCCAAGGGAAGAAACUAAAAGUAGUUGAUAGUUUCCACUACCUAGAUAACCAAGUUAGUAGUGGAGGUGGAUGCUCAGAGAGUGUCACCACUAGAAUACGAAUAGACUGGGCAAAGUUUAGAAAGUUCCUACCCCUACUGGUGACAAAGGGCCUCUCACUCAGAGUGAAAGGUAGAUUGUAUGAUGCAUGUGUGCAAACUGCCAUGUUUCACGGUAAUGAAACAUGGACUGUGACUGCGGAGGAUAUGCGUAGGCUUGAAAGAAAUGAAGCUAGCAUGAUUCGCUGGAUGUGUAAUGUCAGUGUACACACACGACAUCGUGUAAGUGCCCUGAGAGAAAUGCUGGACAUAAGAAGCAUUGGAUGUGGCAUGCAAGAGAGACGUCUGCGCUGGUAUGGUCAUGUACUACGGACAGAUGAAGAGAGAUGUGUGAAGAAGUGCCACUCCCAAACAGUUGAAGGAAUCCAGGGUAGAGGUAGACCCAGGAAGACAUGGGAUGAGGUGGUCAAGCAUGACCUUCGAACAACAAAUGAAGUGAGUUCAUGGCUGUUUCCUGCACCAGCUUCACAUAGCAGCCCCAGCCCAUCCAAUGUACCUUGGAUCGUAGGACAACUUGCUGUGCUUGAGGAGACCUAUUGAGUCAAGUACAUCAACAUCAAAAUAAAAAUCAAAUGGAAAUUGUAGUUGUGACACCUGUGCUGGUGGCACCUAUAAAGCAUCAUCCGAAUGUGGCUGAUGUCAGCGCCACCUUGACUGGCUUCCGUGCUGGUGGCAUGUAAAAAGCACCAACUAUAUUCACAGUGUGGUUAGUGUUAGGAAGUGCAUCCUGCUGUAGAAACACUGCCAGAUCAGACUGGAGCCUAGGGCAGCCUCCUGGCUUCCCAGACUCCGGUUGAACCAUCCAACCUAUGCUAGCAUGGAAAAUGGAUGUUAAACAAUGAUGAUGAUUAUGUUAUACAUACAUAUCAUUUGUAAAAAAACAUAAAUCUGGAGAAGAAGCACACUCUAAGAUGUAGAGCAGUUGAUAUUAUAACUGGCCUCCCCAUUAUAAUAUUGAUAUAUAUAUAUAUAUAUCUAUAUCUAUAUAUAUAUAAAUGUGUAAUGCUGUCUGUCUGUCUGUGUAUUUGGGGUUACUCUAAUUCCUCCCACGCUGUCCAACCGAUUUUAAUGAUUUUUGGCACAUAGGUAGAUCACAUGCCUUAAAGUUUGAAUAAAGCUGGAAUUUUUGGAAAACUCAAUAAUGCUCAGUUGGCAUCAAUUUUUGUGAGCUCAAUCAAGCAUUUGAAUGGAAAUUCCCAUAACAAUGUUAUUUUUCCUGCAGCUGUUGCAGUUUUGUCCGAUUUUGAUGAAAAUUGAUGAGUGAGCAAGGUUUGUGGCAGUGAGUUGAUGUUAGUAUAUGGCAUUGACAAAAAAUUGAUAAUUGCACCUGAGCAGUGGUUUUAUAAAAUAAUAGGCCUUUUGUGUCCAAAUACCCAUAGGGAUUUUAUUUUUUGGGGCUGUAACUUUUUUUUCAUCCAAUUUUAAUGAAAUUCGAGAUUUAGGUAAGCUUUGUUGUAGGGGAUACGGUAAAGGUUUUAAUUUAAUUCCAGAGGAAUCAGAAGAGCACAAGCACGUAUCAGCUUUUUUCAGAGACUAUUCUAUCAAUUUUUAAGGUAUGUUACAUGUCAUUACAGUUCAUGUCCAUAAGUUGAAUGCGGAAUGUAGAGUUGACAAAAAAUCGAUGUUGACAAAAAAAAUAGAUAUUUUGUGUGGAAUUGAACUACACUCCAAUCAACCUGGGAAUUAUCAGGUACCUCUUCUAAAGUACUUCGAACAUGAUUUCAUCCAUAGGAUUCAGAAAGAAAUUUCCUCAAGCAACAGUUACAAUGGCAUAGGCUUAUCCUAAACACAGAAAACCCGAGCAACGCUGGGUACAACAGCUAGUAUAUAUACAUUAUAUAUAUAUAUAUAUAUAUAUUUAACAGUUCAAUUUUUAAAAUAUAAAUUCUUUUCUUCUUUUGUGUGUAUGGCCAGGAUGACAAGCUCAAACAUUCCUUAAUGUAUGUUGAAAAGUAGGUCACAUUGUUAAGGAACAGUAUCCUGAUGUGAAAUAUUUGUAGCAGAAUGGAUUGACAAAAGCAUAAAUGACAAACUAUUUGCUCUCCCUUUUAUUUAUAGUUGUUGUUUGGAUGUAGCAGAUAACACUUAGCUAUAAAGAUCAUGUUUUAACCAUUUGCUCUGAUUGGUUAGUUUUUAGGCACAAUUUUGGAUAAAGUUUUCAGAAAUAACCCAAUAGGUUUAUCAUUAAUUCCAUGAAAUAUUCAUGGGUCCUGCUAGUAAUAUUCUAUAUUACAACUUUAGCAUGGUCAAAAUGACAUCACAAUAUCUGAGCUUCCUCUUUUGAUGAAAAAACACUCAGCUCUAAAUUUGAAAUAACAUUUUUUACUCAAGCCUUACACUGAUCAUAUUACUUAUAAGUUACUAUCAUACUUCUAUUCUGAGUGUUGAAAUUAAUCUUUUAUUCAUCACAAUGAGGUUUUUUUCUGUAGUCUUGUGCUAAACUUCUUGUUAGCUAGAUUAAAAAAAGAGUGGUAGUUAUAUAGCAUCCAGGUAACCUCUGACAAAAUCAUGUCUUAUCAUAAUAUGAAUACACAAUUCUAUUUGGGUUGUAAAUUAAUGUGACAGCUCUAUAUCUAUUCCCUUCUUGUUUAACCUAUAAUCAAAUUGUUUUUGCCAGUUUCUGUUAGAAACAUUUAACAACUGAUUCCAAUGGGGUUCUAACAAUUCCUCAUGGUUUCUGCCUUUAACAAAUUGUACAUUAUUGAAAAACUUUCUUGUUAAAUACUAAUCAGGUUGAUUUAUCUCAAAUAUAUUCCUGACAAUACAGAUUAAUUAAAAAUGAUUGCCUCUCUUCACACCUCGUUUCUUUCUCCAUUCUGUUUCAUUGAAAUACAAAUUUACUACGUUCCUAUGUUCCCUUCUAGAUAGAUUUGAGGAAAAUAAAAGAAAUCCUCAGUUUUAGCACAGCUUUGAUUUUGAGUUUGGCAUGAAAAUGAACUUCAAUCUUGAAUUGGAUAUUUUUGUUUAUUUUGCAACAUAUGCAAAUAGAAGUCUGUGUGAACUUUUCUCUUUUUAGUCAUUUUGUAUCUUUUCAAUUUAUAUUUUUACAUUAAUGCAUUCCACACUACUGUCUGUACUUAUUUACAUUCCUUUAUUUAUUAAAUAUUAAAUGUUAUGAUUUAUACUUAUGCAUAGUUUUCUUUCUUUUACAGAUUUUACAUUGUAUGUGUGUCAGAGAAAACAAAUGAAAGUGCUGAAUGACCAAUAUUUUUUAUAUAAGAAUUAUAGUAGAAUGGGUGUCACAGGACUUGUCUCUUUUGUUAAAU
rnacentral:lncRNA from 1 species